ACUGACGUCACCCCACAGCCUGUCGUGAUUAGCCUGGAGUCUGUGAGUGUAGUUCCGUUUGCGGACCUGUAGAUGGCGUCAAACUCCACCUGCUGAAAGUCCCGCCAGACGCCCAGAACUUCAAGUGCAGCUCGUGUGGUUCGGUUUUGUAAAGCAAACCCCUCUUUACUUUUAGUCGGUUAUUGAAGUGUGCGUGACGUCAGAUACUCAUAUGCUAGUAAAAAUGACACGGUUCAGCCGCCAUGUUAAUGGCGCGCAGGGGCCUGAAGGAGUGCAGCACGCGGACGUUCACCUCCAGCGUCUCUGCGAUGUUUGUGUCAACUGUACUUAAGGGGACAGAUGCACUCAAACAGUGGUCAGGCCGUCAGCGCUUCAACACAUUUAUCGCUGAAGUGAAGCUACGCUGCCCUGCUUCCCACGCGCUAUUCUGCAAUGGAGGCAAGUUUCCCUCGCGCCCAUCUUGGAAUCGGUUAUUAAUUGUGCUUUCACGUCGCUUCAUGAUGCUAAUAAAACAACAAUGCUCUUCCAAAUCAUCUGAAAAAUGAGCCCAAGGACAAUGGGCACUGCCGAGGAAAGGCGUGGUUGUCCACUUUGAGAAACGAUGGGACUCACAACCAAGAUUAAUGGAACUCAGGUGGCUUUUAAUUAGUGCAGCUGUGCUCAUUAAUUAUCUGCGCACAACACAAAUAUUUUUAUAUUUGGGGAAAGUCUUGAUUUAUUUGAUUUUGUUUGCCCGUGGAUCUAGAUGGAUGACUCUUCAUGUUACGUUUUGCCAGCACUAAAAGGAGAUGAAAUACUUCUUUCCCAGUUAGCUUGUCUGCUGCAAACAUGCUGUUAUUGAUGAAGCUGUGUAACGUGACACUAAUCAUGGACAUAAAGAGCAAUCGUAUGAGAUGGUCAUAGCGUUUUAAUUUUCUUUCAUCAAAGCACCACAUGAGCUUAGCAGCAAACAUGUUGUGUGUCUCUUAAAGCAGCAAAGAAGACUUUCUAUUGAUUUGUAGUCCUGCUUUGCUUUUUGCUGUAACAGCAGUAGCUGAUGGUCUUAAAUCAUUAAUA